AUAUAUAAUUAGUUACAUGGGAACGAAGGAGCCAAACUUGUGUCUCGAGCUGAUACAAUAUGGUUCACAAGGCCAACGUUGUUUACAUGAUUUCCAUCAUUCUAUUGCUAUUGUUCUCAUCCAAAUUAGUCUUUGCCAACGUUUCUGAAAAUCCAAAGCACAUCAUUGCAGAUGUAGCAGAAAAGAUCAUCAGGAGGUUGCAUCAGCAUGUUGUGACAAAGGAAGCCAUGAAUGUACCAAUACCUUAUACGGGGGAAGGAACAAAAAAUUAGGGGGUGUGCAUUAAACCGAUCGAACCAUAUCUUGUCUUGAAGGUUCUUACCUUUUAAGUUUUAUUUUAGAGGGGUUUGGUCCUAUGUCCGCCCCUCUUUUUUUUUUGUAUUUUCUUUUUCAAGAGGGGUAAAGUCUAUGUCUUCCCCUUUUCUUUUUCUUGUCUUCCCCUUUUCUUUUUCUUGUAUUUUCUUUUUCAAAAGGGAUAAAGUGUAUAUCCCUUCCUGUGUUCUUGUAUUUUGUUGUUCUUGCUUUAUGAAGAAUAAGGUUUACGUCC